rnacentral:rRNA from 1 species
UACGUAGGGGGCAAGCGUUGUCCGGAAUCAUUGGGCGUAAAGCGCGCGCAGGUGGCCCGGCAAGUCCGCUCUGAAAGUCAAAGGCUCAACCUUUGAAAGCGGGUGGAUACUGUCGGACUAGAGUCCGGAAGAGGCGAGUGGAAUUCCUAGUGUAGAGGUGAAAUUCGUAGAUAUUAGGAAGAACACCAGUGGCGAAGGCGGCUCACUGGUCCGGUACUGACGCUGAGGUGCGAAAGCGUGGGGAGCAAACAGG